CCUACGGGAGGCUGCAGUGAGGAAUAUUGGUCAAUGGCCGAGAGGCUGAACCAGCCAAGUCGCGUGAGGGAAGACGGCCCUACGGGUUGUAAACCUCUUUUGUCGGGGAGCAAAGCGAGUCACGUGUGACUCAUUGAGAGUACCCGACGAAAAAGCAUCGGCUAACUCCGUGCCAGCAGCCGCGGUAAUACGGAGGAUGCGAGCGUUAUCCGGAUUUAUGGGGUUAAAAGGGUGCGCAGGCGGAGGUGCAAGUCAGCGGGAAAAUUGCGGGGCCAAACCCCGUACUGCAGUUGAAACUGCAUGCCUUGAGUGCGCGAGAGGUAUGCGGAAUGCGUGGUGUAGCGGUGAAAUGCAUAGAUAUCACGCAGAACUCCGAUGGCGAAGGCAGCAUACCGGCGCGCAACUGACGCUGAGGCACGAAAGCGUGGGUAUCGAACAGGAUUAGAUACCCUGGUAGUC
rnacentral:rRNA from 1 species